CCAAUAGCGUAUAUUAAAGUUGUUGCAGUUAAAAAGCUCGUAGUUGAAUUUCGGGGUUAGUAGGUUGGUCAUGCCUCUGGUAUGUACUGGUCUCACUGAUUCCUCCUUCCUGAUGAACCGUAAUGCCAUUAAUUUGGUGUUGCGGGGAAUUUGGACUGUUACUUUGAAAAAAUUAGAGUGUUUAAAGCAGGCAUUUUGCUUGAAUACAUUAGCAUGGAAUAAUAAAAUAGGACGGCAUGAUUCUAUUUUGUUGGUUUCUAGGAUCACCGUAAUGAUUAAUAGGGAUAGUUGGGGGCAUUAGUAUUCAAUUGUCAGAGGUGAAAUUCUUGGAUUUAUUGAAGACUAACUACUGCGAAAGCAUUUGCCAAGGAUGUUUUCAUUAAUCAAGAACGAAAGUUAGGGGAUCGAAGACGAUCAGAUACCGUCGUAGUCUUAACCAUAAACUAUGCCGACUAGGGAUCGGAUGAUGUUAAUUUUUUAAUGACUCAUUCGGCGCCUUACG
rnacentral:rRNA from 1 species